rnacentral:misc_RNA from 1 species
GAAAAAGUAGAGAUAAACACACCCCCACAAUCUUGACAGCACCAGCAGCUACUGUUUUUUGCUCAAUUACAAGUAUUGUUCAUGUAUCCUGGCUCGAUUCUCUUCCCACCACAAUCUAGCAUGCAUCUCCCCAAAUUUUUCCCGGCUGAAUCUAACUCUUCUGAGCUCCCUUUUGCCACCUGGCAAGGCUCUGAUAGUUAUGUAAACUCCCGGUUCAUCCUGUUCAACCCAUUCAGUUUCCAUAUCACUAGCAUUGCUUAUUGACAGCUCCCCAGAGCGAUCUGCCUCCCUUGAUGAGCUACUUCUUAUAGAAGCAUCCAUUGAUGAUGUUUCUGUCUUGGCCCCACUAAUACUAGAGAGUUUUGGGGUCGAAGUGAGACCACCUGAAUCACAGUAAUGCCGAGCUUGCAUUGGAUGAUGAUCCAGUGAAUCUGAGGAUGAGUAGCCCAUUCCCAUCCCUGUUGGUCGAUACAGAUUACGAGGCAAGCGUUCUCUGGUCAGUGGUGGCGUUACAGGGCUGUCUUCUGCAGACUCCAUCUUUGAGCUCUCAUCUUCAGAUCUUAGGGGUGUUGGAAGGGGAAAAGCCUGGCGAUUAAACCUCUGGACAUUGUAAAGCUCCAUGACCCUGUCAUAAUUCUCUGCCCACCAUCUUUGAGCUUGCCACUUGUUAAACAUGUCUCGACUGAAACGUAUCCGCUUGAGAUCAUUUCC